GAUGAAGAACGUAGCGAAAUGCGAUACUUGGUGUGAAUUGCAGAAUCCCGUGAACCAUCGAGUCUUUGAACGCAAGUUGCGCCUCAAGCCAUUAGGUUGAGGGCACGUCUGCCUGGGCGUCACAUAUCGUUGCCUGAUGCCAGUUUCAUCGUGAUGGGUGACUGUGCAGGGCGAAUGAUGGCUUCCCGUGAGCAUUGUUGCCUCAUGGUUGGUUGAAAAUUGAGUCCUUGGUAGGGAGCGCCGUGAUAGAUGGUGGUUGAGUGACGAACGAGACCCAAUCAUGUGAGACCCCUACCGAAUUUGGCCUUCAUGACCCACAUGCGUCUUUGGAACGCUCAUGACGAGACCUCAGGUCAGGCGGGGCUACCCGCUGAGUUUAAGCAUAUCAAUAAGCGGAGGA
rnacentral:misc_RNA from 1 species